GAUGAACGCUGGCGGCGUGCCUAAUACAUGCAAGUCGAGCGAACAGACGAGGAGCUUGCUCCUCUGACGUUAGCGGCGGACGGGUGAGUAACACGUGGAUAACCUACCUAUAAGACUGGGAUAACUUCGGGAAACCGGAGCUAAUACCGUAUAAUAUAUUGAACCGCAUGGGUCAAUAGUGAAAGACGGUUUUGCUGUCACGUAUAGAUGGAUCCGCGCCGCAUUAGCUAGUUGGUAAGGUAACGGCUUACCAAGGCAACGAUGCGUAGCCGAAGUGGGAGGGUGAUCGGCCACACUAGAACUGAGCCGCGGACAUGACUCCUACGGGAGGCAGCAGACGGGAACAUGCCGCAAUGGGCGGAAGCCUGACGGAGCAACGCCGCGUGAGUGAUGACGGUCUUCGGAUCGUAAAACUCUGUUAUUAGGGAAAAACAACUGUGUAAGUAACUAUGCCCGUCUUGACGGUAACUAAUAAGAAAGCACCGGCUAACUACGUG
rnacentral:rRNA from 1 species